rnacentral:lncRNA from 1 species
UCGUUGAUUGCCUUUUCAUAGCCCAAUCUCAGUGAUGCAAUUGCCAUAUGCCGAAUUCUUAGUCGUGAAUCUGCCAAAAUCUUGUUGUUUGCUUUUCCAUCAAGUUUCAAGCAGUUAGUAAACUCAAAACAAAUUGCUGCUGACUCCAGAGAUUGAAUAAGGUCAGGAGAGGGUUUCGAUAACUUUUCGAGUACGGAUGCAUCUAGUUCUUGUAGACAUGACGGAAUCUCUGGCAAAGAUUGAAGCCGCUUGCAGUUCCUUGCUUUUAGUGAUUGUAGACACAAUGGAAGUUCUGGUAAUGACCGAAGCAUGUUACAACCCGUCAAGUCAAGAGAUUCAAGACACAAUGGAAGUUCUGGUAAUGACUGAAGCAUCUUACAACGCUCCAAGUGAAGAGACCUCAGCCGCGACAGUUGCUUGAUACUUGCAGGUAAACUCUCAAAGUUAUUUCCACUUAGAUGCAAGCCUGUCAGUGAGGAUAGACAGGCAAUCUCUUGUGGAAUUUCCAUUACAGCACAGUUCCUUAUAUUUAGACGUCCCAAAGAAGAUAAACCUAAUAAUAAUGAUCGAGGCAAUGAUACCAAACCUUUGCAUCUAGAGAACUCAAGAAUUCUAAGUACGUUUGAAUCUGCAACAGAGGAUGGUAGUUGACUAAUAGCUGAUCCAGCUGCACAGAUGUAACGCAAAGAUUUUAAAUUGCCAAUGUUAUCCGGCAACUUAUCAAGUUUAGAGCAAUCUUCUACGAACAAUACUUCAAGUCCCGGUAGAUUUUCAAAUGACGAUGGCAGCUCUGUAAUUGCCGUAUGGCCUAAAUAGAUGCGUUUUAAAUGUUCCAUUUUCUCCAAGAUUUCUGGGAAACGCUCAAGGUUCACGCAGCCAUUAAGAAAAAGAUCAACCAACGAUCUCAAUUUACAAAACCCAGUUGAAAUCAUCUUCAGCCGUUUGCAAUCCCUCAAAUCCAACACUAUAAGAUCAGUUAGGCACUCUAUUGAUGAUGGAACUUCUUCUAUUGCAGACUGGAUUAAGUAUAGCCGUGUAAUUUUCCCAGAAAUCUGUGGAAACUCUACGAGAUUAACACAAUAGGAGAAAUUAAUAGUUACUGGACAAACAAAAUGAAGAUUGGUUGGAAAAGACCUAAGACUUUUGCAGCCCAUAAAAUCCAACCUACUGAGAUACUUGAAAUUCUGGAUAGAUGAGGGAACACAAGCCUUUUCUCCUUCCCAAAGUUGCUCAACUUUACUUAAACGCAAAUUCAGUUGAACGAGGUUCUUUGGCUUGAAAUUUGAUGGCAGUGUCCUUAAUGGAUAUGUGUCCCAAUGAAGAUAUCUCAAUUUUUUAGGAAGAUAAUCUAGACCAUUUGGAAGCUGCACUUUAGAGUAUGAAAGUUGCUCUUCAAUGAUCAUACUUAGAAACCUUUCAAUCCCAUAAAACUUAGGUACAUAAAAUUUGAGCAAUCUCAUACUAGACAUAUUUGUGAAGGUUCCGGGGUCUAAAUUAAUGCCUUUUAUUUUGGACAAAUCCAGAAAUAUGCCUUCAAUUGCAUCGGUCCCCUUAUUAAAAAAAAAACAAAGAAUGAGUAAUCCUAAAACAGAAAAGAAACAUUCGUAAACUUUAUUAACUAAGAGCUCCUUAAACAAAAACAAAUUCUGCAAUCUUUGAUUUUAUUUUUUUAAUAUAUUAAAUAUCUAUAUGCGAGAAAAGAAAAUUUUGGGGGCCAUUGCAAAAUUAAACUAACCGAAAAAAAAAAUUCAAAAUUUCUCUAAUUUACAAACCUGUUAUCUUAAUAUCUAGAAGUUGAGAAGACAAGGCCUAUUUGAUUGGUAUAAGAUUUCAAUUUUUUUUUUUUUUUUUUUUUUUUUUUGUCGAUAGAAUCCAAAAUGUUAGUUCAAAAUUAGGGAAAAAAAUGAAAGUCAUUUUUUUUUCCACUAGCUGUAAUUGUAUCCAAGUCAAAUUGAGAUACAACCCUUUUUGAAAGAAUUUAACCAUCUUACAACCUCCUUAAGGUACAUUUAAGAUAAAAGGAGUGAUUGGAGGCAGAACUAGGUGGGCCAAUCAGUCCAUUUUAUUAGCGACUGUUGCUUAAAAAAAAUUAUACUCUAAAACACACUUACAUUUUUGAAAAAAUAUAUAAUUAUAUUGAAGUAGAACCAGGUGGGCCAACCCUCAUGGCACUCACUUUGUUCUGACACUUUUCACUAAAUUUGAAGAAAAAUAAAAUUAUACUCUUCACACUCUUAUUCAACAUUCCAAAUUUGAUAAAAUCGGGAGUUUUCUUUAAAAAUUUAAAAUUUGAAGACUUGUUCUCUUGACACCCUCAGUCAUUAAUUUUACCUAAUUAUGGGUUUUAUGAUUUUGGUUGUUUUGUUCAUAAAAAUGCUUUUACUAAAGGAUGUUCUGGUAAUAAUAAAAUUUAUAAAAAAAACAUGGGUGUGCUGGUAUGGUUGGAAAAAUAUGAGUGCAUAACUCCAAACAAAUAAAAGAUAUAUAUAAAAAAAAAUGGAGGAUUCUUACCUUAUUAUGCUUGAGUACGCGGCGGAUUUCCUUAGGAUCCCACAACCUGCUGCGUUUGCCUGGCUCUUUCUCAGAUUCUUGGCGAACAAUCCGUCGCCCCAUUUCUUGCAAUAAAAUCAUGCAUUUGCAAGCAAUUCCCUGAUACUGAUAUGAGUGACUUAUCAAUAAGGACAUUCACGUCAUUCAGUCCAUAAGACUUAGAAUCAUCAAGUAUCCUUAUCACAAAAUCUUUAUCCUCUCCCUCAAAGAAACAAGCAAUAUCUAGAAAUACACUCUUGACAUUGGGCGUUAAUUCAUUAAAACUAAUCUUUAAUAUAUCAUACAUAUUAUGAAUAUCAGAUUCACAAAUCCGAUUUAAGUCGUCCAAUACGUUUCCCCAAUGGCUUUUCCUCUUGAGGGAGGAACCCAACACUUUAAGAACUAAUGGAUUGCCAUCAGCAUACUUUACAACUCUCCGUGACUCACGUUUGAAAUCUUCAGGACAAUGCUUUUCUUUAAAAGCGAAGUUACAAAAAUGCUCGAAAGCCUCAUCAAAUUUCAAUCCAUUAACCCUAUAUAUUUUCUCCACUGGAAACGUCUCGAGGACAUGUUUAUUCCUAGUGGUGAUGACAAUUCUACUUCCUGGACCAUACUGAUCAAGCCCUCCAAUCAAACCCUCUAAUUGUCCAUCUUUACUCACAUCAUCAAGCACAAUCAACACCUUCAUGCGUCGGACCCUCUCUUUAGUAAAUUGUGGAAUAUUGGGACCAUCUACUUUAAGUUUUUCUCUUAAUAUCCUUGAAAGAAUUUGCUUUUGUAGAUCUUCUAAUCCAUCCCCUCGUUCUAUAUUUCUCCUAACAUCUGACAUAAAGCACCUACCUUCAAACUCUCUGGAGAAUUGAUUGAAAAUAGCUGUGGCAAGGGUGGUUUUGCCUAUACCACCCAUGCCCCAAAUUCCAACAAUUUGGACAGUAUCCCACAAAUCCAUGCACAGAAAUGGUUUAAUCUGCUCAAUUCGUGAAUUUAAUCCAACUAGGCCAUUGGAUGAGUCCGUUGAGACUGUUAUUUUUUCCAUCUUCUUCAAAACAUCUUCGACAAUUUUGCUUACAAGUUGCGCAUCAUGCCUAAUAUGAAGGUGCAAAGAUGCAAAAACAUUGAGUCAAAUCGGGCCAACACAGAAACAGAGAUAAGAUGAAUUAGGAAAGAGAGUUACCUGAAUUUCGUGGAUUCGUGGCCAGCUAGAUGGGAUGUUUCUUUCAGUGCAUCCCUCCACUUCUGAACCAUUUCUGGCUUCUCUUUGAACUGUUGUUCGAGCUUAUCAAAACCGUGCCCAAAAAUUCCAGCUUGAUGCCGAACAUCGGACGGACUUACGCUAUAGAAAACUGGAAUAACGAUUUGGCCGUUUGUGUGCUUGCAUUCAAGAAUCUUGACAAGUUCAUUCAGGCACCAUUUUGAAGAAGCGUAGUCCUUUGAGAAAAUGACGACCGAAAUUUUCGAACCUUCGAUUGCGUUCAAAAGAGCAGGUGAAAUCUCAUCUCCUCGCCUAAGCUCUUCAUCAUCAAUAAACGUUUUGAUUUUCGUUCUUUCAUUCAAAUUAUAAUAGAGAUGGCAUGUAAAGCUCACGCGAGUGUCCUCUCCUCUGAAACUGAGGAAUACAUCAUAAUUGCAACAAGAAGAAGAGGAAGCCAUGAAGGAAAUUUUAGAAAUUUGGUGACAGAAACAGAGAAUUAAUCUUGAGAGUUGAGAGGGGAUAUGUAAGAAUGAAAAUGCGUAAAUAGUAAAUGAUUGAAUUAAUCUGGCGAGUAAAUAGUAAAUAAUUGAAUGGCCGGAGCUUUCUUAGUUUCCUGGAAAUUUCCUGGAGCUUUCGUAUACAUGAUUUGUCAAGUCAAGAAACAUAAUCAUGAUAAUGGGGCAGACCAGGAAGGAAAGAAAAUUUGAUCCAACCAAUAAAGGAAGGAAAAGUAAAGAAAGAAAAUUUGAAAGUAGAUUCAGAGAAUUAUAAAAAGCUAAAGGAUAUUGGAAUUUUGUACAAUUUCUCUAUUACAGUUUGGAUUAAGAUUUGAGCAAGCGGCCAAAACUACAUUGCGUCAGGGCUUUGGUGCCACACUCGUUUGUCUGUUAGUAGCAUUGGAUUUGAUCUGACGGCUGCAGAAGAGACACAAACAUAAAGAGGAGUAACCUGAGGAAAAGGUAAUAAGCCGGUUACCUGCAGAAAAUAAGUGCAUGAUAAAAUAACACAAGUAAUGAACACAAUGGAAGCGUAUAUGCAAGUAAUGGUUGGAAACAACUUGCUGGAAGCGUGCAAGUAUUGGUUGGGCACAGACCGACAUUAAAUUUCGCAAAUAGUGUCUGAAACAUUUGCAAAUACUUAAUUCAAAACGUCAAUAAAUGCUGGAAAAAAUACAUAUUUUUUUAUUUUUUAUUAAGAAUACAUUUAAAAAAAGAAUAAUUAUUAAUGGUACAUAUUUGUAACAAUUAUACCAAAAACAAUUAUCCAUAUAUUUAAAAAAAAUGUUAACAAUACAUAUUUUUUAGAAGUAUACAUAUUAUAUCAUAAAAAAAUUGAGUUGGAGCUUCGACAAGUAGAUCUUAAAAAACUAAGGUUGAAUUUUGGAGGAGCAGAUUCGGUCGUGGAGUAACAUUUGUUUAUUAUUAUUAAUUUAUUUUGGUAGUCCUAGUGAAACAUCGUUGUUUCACAUAGAUGAUGUCGCAGUUUGAUAGACGGGAUGACAUGUGAUUUUUUAUCAAAUAUAUCGGGCCACAUGGCAUUUUUGACUAGGUGAAUGGAGUGACAUGUUAAUUUUUUUUUUUUUUAAUCAAAGGUUCUUCUAUCUUAGAAGACUAGAUUAGCCUUAUGAUGUCAAGACUUGGAAACGACAACUAACUGACUAGUGGAUAGCAGACACAUGUUGUCAACUUAGGGUAUACAAGGAUACAUGUUAAAAGUAUUGUAGUAUAUGUGAUACAAGUGUCAUGGAAGGCUAUAUGAGUGAUAAUUACUCAUUAAACUAUAAGUUGCAAUAAUUUAACACAACAAGUGCCAAUUAAAAUGUAAUAAUUUAAAAAAAAUUAGGUAUUCUCCGUCUGUCUCCCUCUCAAUCAAUGUGUCCUACUUUGAAUGUUAAUAUUUAUUAUCAAACAUAAAAAAAUUCUAAAAUAUUAAAAAAAAAAAACAGAGUCUUCUAGGCACAUAAAUUAGAGUAGUUUCGUGAACAAAGAACUUGAGAAAGAUAAUGGUGGCACUCUCUUAGAAGGAAUCUAUGGGGUUAAUGUUUUCUUCCCUAUGUCUAUUUUAUGUAUCUUAGUUUCAAAAACAAGAUGUACACAAUUAGGGGUUGGUUAAUGCAGUUAAAACGGUGGAAAAAGGCUUAUAGAAAUAAAAUAUAAUUGUAAUGCAGUGUUUGGUAUGAAUAAGUAAACUAAAAAUAAGACAAUUGGGUAUACGAAUUUAUAAUGCGAUAAUAAUAUUUUUUCCCUAAGACGACCCGUAGGGUAAGAUUAUAGACUAAAUUGUUGUGUUAUGUUAAUGAUACGAUAUAAAAGUGUUGUUUUAGAAGCUGUAAAAGUUAGUUAAUGUGAAAUUUGUUUUUAAAGGUAAUUGUCUUGUAACCCCUUGUUUUUAAGGGUAAGAUUAUAGACGCAAUUUGUUUGUUUUGAAAAAAAGUCCCUUAUGUUGAGCUGGACUUUUUUUCGUCUUCACAAGUCCCUUUUGCCGAGCUGGAAUUUUUCUGACAGAGUCUCCGUUUGUUCCCAUAAUAGCGGCGAGAAUCUGGCCGAGCCUCGAUGAUAGCUCGUUGCUACGACACGUGACUGUGUCCAUUGAGUCUCUAUUCGAAAUCCAAAUGUCGACGACAACGGCCGCCUCCACUAACGGUUCUCAAAUCACGCCGUGCGUUGAUGACGUGGCGGUGGCAAUUAACAACAAUAACUUCAACUCGAAGGAGAGAUUCAACGACCGUGAUUUUUUGUUGAAGCAGUCGUAUUCGUUUGGAUUCGAGCGGAGUCUUGCAUCGAAGAGGAUGGUGAUGGAGGCGGUAAUGGCGUUGCCGUGGAAGUACAAGAGGGGGAGUUACUGGAGCAAACAGUCGUCUCCGUUUGGCUCAUUGACGAAGUCUAGAGUCUUCUGGAGCAAAGGAUUAUAUACUUAUCCUCUUUGUUUUCCUUUUACUGAUACUGUAGCUUUAGCCGAUUACCCAUUUUCCAAGUGUUAAACAUGAGCCGUUGUUACCUUUCUUUACUAUCUAAAUGGUCAUUCGCAAAAGGACAAAUGACUAGGGUAUCAAACCCCUUACGCAAUGUAGCUGGACCCUUAGCAAAGCAUUCACCUAAAUCUUACCUCCGCUGUAAAUUCUUAAGUUUUGAAAAUUAUGAGACCUUUAUAUUGGGAGAUAUUAUAAUCAAAUGAAAAGUUAAAAUUUUAAUAUUGUUAAUAAAUGACAAAGCCAUUUCAUUUCUCUUUUACAUGUUAUUAAUUUUUGUAACACGGGGUGGCAACAUAAGCAUAAUCAAGUAAAGCAAAAGGGUUUCAAAUUAUGGUGGUAAAACGUGAAGAAGGAUGCCAACUGAAUAAUUCCUUCCACAAAACGAAAAAUAAUCACAGAAAAAGGAAUCUCUUAUAAAAUGUUUGCGUAUUUUUUAUAAGGUUUGAAACUUUAGGUGGUCGGUAAAUGAUUUCUUAAUUGAAUAAUAUAUAAAAAAGCUAAUUAUUUAUAAUUUUAAAUAAUCUGAAUUUGUAUGUUAGAAAUUUCAUCUCUUUUAUUUUUGAGAAUUUUUCAUAAAGAAUAGAGAACAUAAUGUUAACAUUUAAAGUAACACAUCUCAAUCGUCGAAAUUAUUUUUCUAUUAAAUCCAACGAUAACGAAUUAAUGUCAGAAAAGGACAAAAUUAGUGGUGGCUUGCAAUAAUUGCAAGGUAGCUUUUGUAAAGACAGAAAUGUGAUGGAUUCAAAAAGAAAUUGAAGUGAUAAUGUACGUGGAUCCUUAAAAUAAAAAGCCGAAUCGCUUGGUGGCCCAGUAAAAUUACGAUUUGAAUUUUUUUUUUUUUUUUUUUUACACAAUGUGUCAAGCACAUAAAUGACGAAAGCCAUUUCAUUUCCCUUUCACACGUCAUUAACUUUUGUAACACGGUGUGUUCAUCGUCAAGUGAGGCAAAAGGGUUUCCAUUACAGUGGGAAAACAUGAACAAGAAUGCAUAAUGAAUAAUUCCUUCGAUAAAGCGAAAAUUAAACAUAAAAUAAUCCUAAAAUUUAAACUCUAAUAUCCUUCGAUAAUGUAUUGAUUAAAAAUAAUCCUAAGAGUUUCCAAUUGAAACUUCCGUAAGUAUUUUUAUUGUUUUGGAUAAACAAAUUGCACUAGGAUAAAAAUUUGGUAAAUUCAGAGGAUAAUAGAAAAUAGCUAUGGUUCAAUAGGCCAAAGAUUAGAGAACAAACAAGAAUUAGUUAUUGAUAUACAAAAGAGAAACACUCCAAAAUUUCAAGCAAAAAUAGUUUCAUAUACCAUUUCGAUUUUGGAAGGGGUGAGGUUUUGAAAUUCAAUAGUUUCCUCUAAAAUCAAAAGGCAGCAAUUAAGUUAGAAAGAGCAAAGAAGACUUAUUGGUACCUUAUUGAAGCUGAACAUUAUGGAACUUUCAAUGUCAUUACCUCACUGUUCAAUUUUUAUUGAGAUUUGUGCAAGCAUUUACCUAAAUUUUACCUCCGCCUGUAAAUUCAUAAGUUUUGAAAAUUUUGAGACGUUAUAUUGGGAGAUAUUAUAAUCGAACUAAAACUUAAAAUUUCAAUAUUAUUAUUCUUUGAAAAAAAAAUGAGAUAUCAGAGUAAUAUCACAUAGAAUGGUAAGCCAAAAGUCUAAUCAACCACAUGCAUAAAGCUAACUAGAACAAGUGAACAGAGAAACGCGUGGGUCCCUAAAAGAAAAGGCAAGCACAUAAAGAAAACGGAAAACAAACGCCAGAGAAAAGAAUUUCUUAUAUGCCUUGAUAUUGAUUAAUAUUCAGCGAUAGCUUAAUGCUUACCAUCAAGCAACUUUGAAAGCAGGAAGCUAUAUAUGACAAGAAAUCAAAGUAAUGUGAAGGAACAUGAUGAUGAAAUUGCAGGCCAGCACAAAAACACCCAUACCCCUGAUUUGUUUAAAUGUACACGAAGACCUUAAGGUUUGGUAAAAGAAAAUUGAAUUUAUAUUGUAUUAUAAUACAAUUUUUUUUAAACCAUCAAUGAUAAAAUCUUCUUACUUUUUUCCAUCCUUUGGAUCAAUAAGUACAAAUUUCUCAUCUAAAUCUUCAUACUUUUUACAAAUGACUUUUGUGCCAUAGAUUUUUUUUUUCUUUUUUUGGUUUUGCCGAAAAAACAAAACAAAUUCAUAAACAACAUUGUAUUUCACCAAUUAACAGUGCAAGUGUCAUUAUAGUUUCCACAUUUUAGUUCUGUUUUUUUUAGUUUCAUUUUCUUUCUGUUAUGUAACUGAUGUUUCAUUGCUAUAAAAUUAAUUGUCUGUUUCUCUUCACAACUGUUAUUUUGAAUGAUUUUUUCUGAAUUUUAUAAACAAUUUGUAUAUGACAGGAAAUGAAGCAGAGUGCGAGCAACUUGUAUGGAUUCCUAAAAGGUCUGGUCAGAGUGUUCCUUUCAAUGCAUACAUCUGGCGGCGAGGGACUAUUCCAAUAUGGUGGGGUGCAGAAUUAAAGCUUACUGCUGCUGAAGCAGAAAUUUAUGUUGCAGAUCGGGAUCCUUAUAAAGGAAGUCUGCAGUAUUAUCAGAGGUUGAGUAAUCGAUAUGAUGCUCGAAACUUUGACUUAGCUGUUGGGGAAAAUCAGAAGAAAAAGCCUUUUAUUCCAAUUGUAUGCAUUAACUUGCUUAGGAAUGCGGAAGGGAAAUCAGAAUCUAUUUUAGUUCAGCAUUUUGAGGAAUCUUUGAACUAUGUCAGAUCAACUGGAAAACUUCCUUAUACUCGAAUUAUUUUAAUAAAUUAUGACUGGCAUGCCAGUACAAAAUUAAAAGGUGAACAACUUACAAUUGAAGGAUUAUGGAAGCAUCUAAAAGCACCCACUCAGGCCGUAGGCAUUUCUGAAGGGGACUAUUUGCCAUCACGGCAACGACUUAAUGAUUGCCGAGGUGAAGUCAUCUGCAAUGAUGACUUUGUGGGUGCCUUUUGCUUAAGAUCCCAUCAGAAUGGAGUGAUACGCUUUAACUGUGCAGACUCUCUUGAUCGGACCAAUGCUGCUAGUUAUUUUGGUGCUCUGCAAGUAUUUGUGGAGCAAUGUAGGCGGCUUGGGGUCUCCCUUGACAGUGAUUUUGCAUAUGGCUAUCAGUCAGCUAAUAACUAUGGUGGAUAUACUGCUCCUUUGCCACGAGGAUGGGAGAAACGAGCUGAUGCAGUGACAGGAAAAACAUAUUAUAUCGAUCACAACACUAGGACCACAACAUGGAUUCAUCCAUGCCCAGACAAACCUUGGAAGAGAUUUGAUAUGACAUUUGAGGAGUUCAAGCAUUCAACAAUUUUAUCACCAGUGUCUCAGCUAGCAGAUCUUUUUCUGCUUUCUGGUGAUAUCCAUGCAACCCUUUAUACUGGUUCAAAAGCAAUGCAUAGCCAAAUUCUUAAUAUAUUCAAUGAAGAACCAGGAAAGUUCAAACAAUUUUCUGCAGCACAAAAUAUGAAAAUUACUCUGCAGAGAAGAUACAAAAAUGCAGUUGUCGAUAGCUCUCGUCAGAAACAGCUGGAGAUGUUUCUUGGAUUUAGGCUGUUCAGUUCAUUUUUUUGUGGUAGAAAUGUCGUCAUUUUAAAUUUAGUGUAUUUUCAAAAAGCUUAUUUUCUCAGAAUAUAAAAAAUAAAAAAAUAAAAAAAGAAUUCUUACAUGUUUCAUCAGCAUGAUUAAAAUCGAAGAAGAAAGCGAGACAUAAUGUCUCUGACAUAAUAAAAUUACAAAAAUUUCAAGGAAAAAAAAGAAGUUAAAACAUGUAAUCUUCAGAAGCAUAUAAUAAAAGAGCACUUCCACAAAUUACUACAAUUUCAUGCAGUAGAGAUUGAAGAGUUGAAUUCCACUUAUAGACACCGACCUCUUGUUUUGUCUAAUGUUAAAAUUACAACCUCUUGCUUUGACUUAUUAGCAGGUUUCAAAAGUAAUAAGGAAUACAUAGAUAAAACAUCAUCUUAAACAAAUCACAAUCUAGAAUUAGAGCAUUUUCGACAUACCUAAGGACCACGAAUACGUGAAAACGGGUGACUCAUUUGUUAAGAAGUGUUGAUUUGAUCGGCUCUGCAAAUUCUCUUGGGACUCGGUUCCAAUUCCUCUUCAUCCGAAGUUCCACUCGCGCUUGGAAAAUCAUCCAAUUUCCAAACUUCGGUAGCAAAAUUGAGAGUAAAAGUGUUGGCUUUGAUCUCGCUGGGAUUUGCAUAUACUGGACAUACUCCGUAACGUUUUAUCUUGCAAUCCUUUUGGCUUCGGUAACACUUAUUGAAGAACUUAAGUGAGACAGUUGUAUGAUGGUAACCAUCGGGAAAGCCAACAUUCAAGCAAGGUUUAAAACCAAGUAUGACAUGAUCGGAAUCAAGGGAGUAUCUAGUGGGCAAAUCGAAACCCAGAUCAACAUGUUUGGUUUCAGAGAGAGUCUUUAUUUCUAAGUCGAAUUGACGGUAGAAGUAAAAAUCACACAUACAACGAGAAUAAACUUUCUUAAAAUCAAGAACAGCACAAAAAGCAAACCCGAUUAAGUUUCUGAAAAAAGAGUGCGGUGGCAGUUGAAUAUAUAUCGAAGAUCCUGAACUUUGAUUGCUGAACCAGUCAGGAAUUUCGCCCCCAGGUAAAACAAUUAGGGAUCCCCUGAGUUCUGAAAGUUUCUGUGAAAUGACAUUUAAAAAAAGAAAAUUGUAAAAUGAAAACCAUGAUUUCAGAUAGGGAUAUUAUCAUUUUUCCACCAAAGGUAUUCUGACACAUCAUGUCAGUACCACGGUUUGGUAAAACUAUCAAUUUACCACCAAACGUUUAAACUGUUAGGAUUUUCCCACUAUUCCGUUAAAACUCAGUUAAUAUGUAACGGAAAAUUUCUAAAAAGUCAAUUUUACCCCUGGAGCAUAAAAGACCAUAUAAUUAACUUUUUAUGAAUUUUGUAAUUAAAUCAUCAUUUGUUGUUCUUCCUUCUUAAAGGACAAAAAUUACCCUUUAUAAAUUUUAUAAAAUUGGCCGUGUAGUGCUAGGUACUUCAUAAAUUAAUUUAAUUUUUAAAGGGCAAAUUUAUUUAUUAAAUUGAUGAGCUCAAGACAAUUUAUUCUACUACUAAAAAUCAAUUUAUGAAAGGGAAAAAAAAAAGAAUGUGCAAACGAAGUAAUUUAAUCUUUGAUAUGAUGAUAAUAAUUUUACACAAAAAAUUAAAUAAAUAAAUUUUCCCUUUAAAAAUUAAAUAAAUUAAAUCAAUUUAUGAAGUACCAAAUACCACACGGUCAAUUUUACAAAAUUCAUAAAUGGUAAUUUUUGUCGUUUAAGAAUAAAGAAUAACAAAUGAUGAUUUAAUUACAAAAUUCAUAAAAGGUUAAUUAUAUGGUCUUUUAUGCUCAGGGGUAAAAUUGACCUUUUAGGAAUUUUCCGUUAGAUAUUAACUGAGUUUUAACGGAAUGGUGGGAAAAUGCUAACAGUUUAAACGUUUGGUGGUAAAUUGAUAGUUUUACCAAACCGUGGUACUGACAUGAUGUGUCAGAAUACCUUAGGUGGGAAAAUGAUAAUAUCCCUUUCAGAUAUAACAAAGAGGGACAGAGUAAACAAGAGAGGGAAUUUGAUACCUCGUUGAUUGCCUUUUCAUAGCCCAGUCUCAGUGAUGCAAUUGCCAUAUGCCGAAUUCUUAGUUGUGAAUCUGCCAAAAUCUUGUUGUUUGCUUUUCCAUUCAGUUUCAAGCAGUUAGUAAACCCAAAAUAAAUUGGUUGUGACUCCAGACAUCCCGGUGCCCAUUGACGAAGGUCAGGAGAGGGUUUCGAUAGCUUUUCGAGUACGGAUGCAUCUAGUUCUUGUAGACAUGACGGAAUCUCUGGCAAAGAUUGGAGCCGGUUGCAGUUCCUUGCAUUUAGUGAUUGUAGACACAAUGAAAGUUCUGGUAAUGACCGAAGC